rnacentral:misc_RNA from 1 species
GUCACAAUUACGGAUUGCUGAUUCGAGAAGAAUUCUGAUAGAGUAUGGUAGCUUGUCAAUCCUGGGAUCAUUGAGAGCAGGUAAGCUAUAGAACUUUCCGAAUUCACCACCUCCGGGCUUUGGAAGACCAGUGAGGAUUCCCUUAAAUGGGUUCUCUGCAGCCAUGGUAGCUAGUUUCCGAUGAAACCCGUUGAGAGCAGGGGCAGCAGUCCUGAUCUGAGCAGUAAGACUGAUCGGAGACUUCCAAUCAACACCGUGACUCCACCUCGGCACAGAGCAACGCAGAGACCGAAGCGUUGAUGAAUAACGCUGCUGAUUACCAGAAGCAGCACCAGCACGACAAGGCGCGUGAGCAGCAGUAGAAGUUGAAGCAAGCGGCCUUGUAACAGAAGAAGAUGCUCUCAAUAAUGAAGAAGCAGCAGAAGAAGAGUACUUGCGAGCUGUAUUACUAUACAUGACUCCCAAUAUGUAUAUAUAUAGUUUUUUUUUUCUCAAAUCACAUUCAAUGGUAACCUCCUAGGGUUGUGUGCCCAAACAAAAAAAGGGAAAUUGCUGAUGAGGAAGAAGAUGAAGAUAGUGACGAAGAAGAUAUGGCGAUUUGAAUUAUUGAUUACUGAUAUGGUAAAGGACAGUGCCGAAGCUGCGGCACAUCAAAUGGAGCUAAAAUAAAAAAAGC